AAAGAUUAAGCCAUGCAUGUCUAAGUAUAAGCAAUUAUACAGCGAAACUGCGAAUGGCUCAUUAAAUCAGUUAUCGUUUAUUUGAUAGUUCCUUACUACAUGGAUAACCGUGGUAAUUCUAGAGCUAAUACAUGCUGAAAAUCCCGACUUCGGAAGGGAUGUAUUUAUUAGAUUAAAAACCAAUGCCCUUCGGGGCUCCUUGGUGAUUCAUAAUAACUUCUCGAAUCGCACGGCCUUGCGCCGGCGAUGGUUCAUUCAAAUUUCUGCCCUAUCAACUUUCGAUGGCUGGGUCUUGGCCAGCCAUGGUGACAACGGGUAACGGGGAAU
rnacentral:rRNA from 1 species